rnacentral:lncRNA from 1 species
UCUUAAUGGAACUAUCAGGAAAUGGAAGCCUAGUCUGUCUGGCCAUAGGACAGACUGAACAGGGAAAGGGUUGUUUGGAAGCAAAUGGAAAAGAUAGACCAGAAAUGCAUUUCAUAUUUGCAAAAGGAGUAUGUGCAAGUCUUAAGUGCCAAAUGUAAUUCAUAUCAGAUGUAAAAUCAUUAUUAAAGAUGGAACUAUUUACAUGUGAAGGCAAUGGAACAGCCUUGUGAUCAGUCAAGAUGUCAUCAUUACAAGAAACAGACACAGAAGGCAAUGCAACAACUUUGCUAUCAUUACA